rnacentral:rRNA from 1 species
AUGACGGCACUGCGGUGUUGUUUCUCUAUUGGGGAUAUCGUUUGUGGAGCAGCACUGGAAGACAGAGGCAGGAGACGGAGCGGCUUCGUCUUAUACGGAGCUUCGAUGGAGAUGUUAAGUCAUGCCUGGCCGACAGGUGCUACGUUGUGUCAUGCCUACUCGGCAGGUGCUACGCAUGACAGAUCUUUCAGAAUGUUCGCGUCUGGAUGGAUGAGCGUGGGGGCAAUGGCGCUGUUGGGCGCCGUGGUAGCGUCGAAGGAUAGACGAACUGGCAAGGAUGAUGCGGAUCUCUCUUCUGAAAAUUGGUCAGCGGUCCGAUGA